AGAUUGAACGCUGGCGGCAGGCCUAACACAUGCAAGUCGAGCGGUAGAGAGGUGCUUGCACCUCUUGAGAGCGGCGGACGGGUGAGUAAUGCCUAGGAAUCUGCCUAGUGGUGGGGGAUAACGUUCGGAAACGGACGCUAAUACCGCAUACGUCCUACGGGAGAAAGCGGGGGACCUUCGGGCCUCGCGCCAUUAGAUGAGCCUAGGUCGGAUUAGCUAGUUGGUGAGGUAAUGGCUCACCAAGGCGACGAUCCGUAACUGGUCUGAGAGGAUGAUCAGUCACACUGGAACUGA
rnacentral:rRNA from 1 species